rnacentral:rRNA from 1 species
AGAGUUUGAUCCUGGCUCAGGAUGAACGCUAGCUACAGGCUUAACACAUGCAAGUCGAGGGGCAGCAUGAGAUUAGCUUGCUAAUCUUGAUGGCGACCGGCGCACGGGUGAGUAACGCGUAUCCAACCUUCCCCCUACUCAGGCAUAGCCCGGUGAAAACCGGAUUAACUCCUGAUAGUUUCACUAGAUGGCAUCUGACGGUGAAUAAAGCUCAGCGGUAAGGGAUGGGGAUGCGUCUGAUUAGCUUGUUGGCGGGGUAACGGCCCACCAAGGCGACGAUCAGUAGGGGUUCUGAGAGGAAGGUCCCCCACAUUGGAACUGAGCCAUGAUCAAACUC